rnacentral:sRNA from 1 species
CAUACCUCCGCAGUGCAGACACAACCCACAGCACGCUCAUUAUUUCUGCAUCCUGUCUGGGGCCCUACACUCUGCACUUACUAAAUGACUCAAGGCAAUGUUUUGUGAGAACAUUUCUCACCGAAGUGAUCAGUUCCAGCUAGGAAGAGCAAUGUGCUGGGACUGUACAACACUCUGAACCCUGAAGCAUCUGCCUCGCCUUGCUGCGUG